UACACUCCUACGGGAGGCAGCAGUGGGGAAUUUUGGACAAUGGGCGAAAGCCUGAUCCAGCAAUGCCGCGUGUGUGAAGAAGGCCUUCGGGUUGUAAAGCACUUUUGUCCGGAAAGAAAUCCUUGGCUCUAAUACAGUCGGGGGAUGACGGUACCGGAAGAAUAAGCACCGGCUAACUACGUGCCAGCAGCCGCGGUAAUACGUAGGGUGCGAGCGUUAAUCGGAAUUACUGGGCGUAAAGCGUGCGCAGGCGGUUUGCUAAGACCGAUGUGAAAUCCCCGGGCUCAACCUGGGAACUGCAUUGGUGACUGGCAGGCUAGAGUAUGGCAGAGGGGGGUAGAAUUCCACGUGUAGCAGUGAAAUGCGUAGAGAUGUGGAGGAAUACCGAUGGCGAAGGCAGCCCCCUGGGCCAAUACUGACGCUCAUGCACGAAAGCGUGGGGAGCAAACAGGAUUAGAUACCCCAGUAGUCCCAUGAU
rnacentral:rRNA from 1 species